CAGCCGCCGCGGUAAUACGGAGGGGGCUAGCGUUGUUCGGAAUUACUGGGCGUAAAGCGCACGUAGGCUGCUUUGUAAGUCAGAUGUGAAAUCCCCGGGCUCAACCUGGGAACUGCAUUUGUGACUGGCAAGCUAGAGUCUGGCAGAGGGGGGUGGAAUUCCGCGUGUAGCAGUGAAAUGCGUAGAUAUGCGGAGGAACACCGAUGGCGAAGGCAAUCCCCUGGACCUGUACUGACGCUCAUGCACGAAAGCGUGGGGAGCAAACAGGAUUAGAUACCCCCGUAGUCCCUGUCUCUUAUAC
rnacentral:rRNA from 1 species